ensembl:misc_RNA Metazoa_SRP Metazoan signal recognition particle RNA
GCCGGGUGUGGUGGUGGGCGCCUGUAAUUCCAGCUACUUAGGAGGCUGAGGCAGGAGAAUCACUUGAACCCAGGAGGCGGAGGUUGCAGUGAGCUGAGAUUGUGCCACUGCUCUCCAGCCUGGGUGACAGAGUGAGACUCUGUCUCAU